rnacentral:rRNA from 1 species
ACGGAGGGUGCAAGCGUUAUCCGGAAUCACUGGGUUUAAAGGGUACGUAGGCGGUCAGAUAAGUCAGACGUUAAAGACUGUGGCUAAACCACGGAACGCGUAUGAAACUAUUUGACUUGAAUAUGUUCGAGGUGCAUGGAAUGCUUCAUGUAGCGGUGAAAUGCAUAGAUAUGAAGUAGAACACCAAAAGCGAAGGCAGUGCACUAGGAUAUUGUUGACGCUGAGGUACGAAAGCGUGGGUAGCGAACAGGAUUAGAUACCCUGGUAGUCCACGCCCUAAACGAUGCUAACUGGUCCUUUAUCGGAAUAGAUAAGAGACUGAGGGAAACCAUUAAGUUAGCCACCUGGGGAGUACGUUCGCAAGAAUG